rnacentral:rRNA from 1 species
AUUGAACGCUGGCGGCAUGCUUUACACAUGCAAGUCGAACGGUAACAGGCCGCAAGGUGCUGACGAGUGGCGAACGGGUGAGUAAUGCAUCGGAACGUGCCCAGUCGUGGGGGAUAACGCAGCGAAAGCUGUGCUGAUACCGCAUACGAUCUAUGGAUGAAAGCGGGGGACCGUAAGGCCUCGCGCGAUUGGAGCGGCCGAUGUCAGAUUAGGUAGUUGGUGGGGUAAAGGCCCACCAAGCCAACGAUCUGUAGCUGGUCUGAGAGGACGACCCGCCACACUGGGACUGAGACACGGCCCAGACUCCUACGGGAGGCAGCAGUGGGGAAUUUUGGACAAUGGGCGCAAGCCUGAUCCAGCAAUGCCGCGUGCAGGAAGAAGGCCUUCGGGUUGUAAACUGCUUUUGUACGGAACGAAACGGUCUGGGUUAAUACCCUGGGCUAAUGACGGUACCGUAAGAAUAAGCACCGGCUAACUACGUGCCAGCCGCCGCCGUAA